rnacentral:rRNA from 1 species
AACGUAGGACGCAAGCGUUAUCCGGAGUUACUGGGCGUAAAGGGCGGGCAGGCGGUUCGUCAAGUGGGGUGUGAAAGCUCCCAGCUUAACUGGGAGAGGCCAUUCCAAACUGACGGACUGGAGGGCAGCAGAGGUAGGCGGAAUUCCGGGUGGAGUGGUGAAAUGCGUAGAGAUCCGGAGGAACACCAGUGGCGAAGGCGGCCUUCUGGGUCGACCCUGACGCUGAGAGGCGAAAGCGUGGGGAGCGAACGGG